rnacentral:rRNA from 1 species
UAGGGAAUCUUCCGCAAUGGACGAAAGUCUGACGGAGCAACGCCGCGUGAGUGAAGAAGGCUUUCGGUUCGUAAAACUCUGUUGUUAGGGAAGAAAAAAUGUAUAGUAACUAUAUACAAAAGAGACGGUACCUAACCAGAAAGCCACGGCUAACUACGUGCCAGCAGCCGCGGUAAUACGUAGGUGGCAAGCGUUGUCCGGAAUUAUUGGGCGUAAAGCGCGCGCAGGUGGUUUAGAAAGUCUGAUGUGAAAGCCCACGGCUCAACCGUGGAGGGUCAUUGGAAGCUAAUAAACUUGAGUGCAGGAGAGAAAAGUGGAAUUCCUAGUGUAGCGGUGAAAUGCGUAGAGAUUAGGAGGAACAACGGUGGCGAAAGCGGCUUUUUGGCCUGCAACUGACACUGAGGCGCGAAAGCAUGGGGAGCAAACAGG